rnacentral:rRNA from 1 species
UAGCGAGCACGGGAUUGGGCGGCCCCUCCCUCUCCAGUGAAAAUAUGUCCUAUCUCUUCUCUCCCCGUUCCUCUUCUCUGGCCGCCGCCUCCGCUUCCCUCCUCCCUCUCGGUCGCCUCGUCUCCUCCGCCGCCGCCACGUCCUCCUCCCCUGCCACCACCCUCUCCAUCCCUGCCUCUCCUCCUCCCCUGCCUCCGCGCACCCGGCAACACGGCCAGACCGAUGGAUGGGGUAGGCGAAGAGGAGUGGCAGAUCCGCCUCCUCUUGGGCGGUUGUGCUCUUCUUUGUUGAGAACUUGCCGCCUGUUGCGCCCGCGUCGCUGCCGUUCUUGCGCCGGUGCUGCUGCCGUGGACGGCUUGGCUUUGGCGCAAUCUCUGUUCUUUCUCACCCAUGCGACUGAUCUUCUAUCUGCUGCUGCCGCGCGCCGUGCUUCUGGAUCUAGGCGAGCAGGGCGGCAUGAUCUUCUUGGUGGGUGUGGAGGAUGAGGAGAAUGGCAGUGAGGGAAGUAACAGCGAGGCUGGAGUUCCAGACGGUGCUGGCCAUGGUACCUGUCCCCAAUCUAGGUUGCCAAUAUGCAGCCUCCUUGAUUUAUGGUUUUUUAAACACACAUAUGCAGACCUGAGGAAAAAGAGAAGAGGGUGAAUCUUGAUGAAAAGUUUGAACAAAGUGAUCUCUCCCUCUCUCUUGAACACUACUAUCACGUUCAUAUGUUCUGCAUAAGGCUAUCUUAUUUGGUGUGCAAGAGAGUAUUUAUAGUUAGAAUAUUACAUUCUUCAUGUCUUAUAUAAAAUCUUCUUUGAACAACGUUCUUUAAUUUCUAGAUUUGUUGCAGGUUCGAAGAUAUAAAUCUAAUUGAUAUAUUGUCGAUGGGGAUUAAGUACUGUAAUGAUAUACCUGAGAAUUUUGAUGAUAUAUCUGCUACCAGGUUGAAUAUUGACCACAAAUUAAUUUUUGUGUGUGCUUCUGCUCAUUUAAGUGCAUAAUUUGGUCACAAACCUCCUGCUGUAGCUACGAAGUUCAUUGUGUGAUGCCUACAAGUUAUUGGUCUUAUUUUUGGUGUAAAGCUGCAGGCCGAGUUCAGGUUGUUCUUUUGACAGAAAUGGAACAGGUAAUGCUACAGCCUAAGCAUUGUAUAGUAUAAAUUCAAAGGUCAUGUAAUAUUUUACUUAGGUUCAUUCAAAUAUCUGGAAUUGACAUGCAUAUGUUUCUUGUAUGUGCACACAUUGUUGGUUGUAUCUUAAUAUGAGUUCUUUAUAUGUUGCUUGCCUAAAUUCAGAAGUGAACUUUUGCUGUAUAUUUGGUCGAUGUGUGUCCUGUAAACCGUAAACUUACUAGGUGUACAUGUACAUGCGUAUUUGUUACACUAUUAUCAUAUAUAACACUUCCAGAUCAGAAUAUACAGAUAUCUCCUUUUUACAUAAAUAAUCGUGAUUGUUCUCAUACAAUUUGGCAUUUCAAGAAUAUCGCAGCCACACAAGCUAAAGGUUCAGGAAGUUUAGGGAAAGAAAAGUUCUUAUUGACAAAGAUGGUGGUAUGGAUAAGUCCCUAUUCUCAUUGUCACUGGUACUUCAUUUUUCUUAUAUUUUGAUGCUUAUUUUUUCGUAUGUAGGUGAGUUUUAUCUGGUAUCACUUUUUGACAUGGACAUGUACCAUAUGAUUGUUGAGUUUCAUCUGAUUUCACUUUUUGACAUGGCCAUAUACCAUGGGGUAUAGUAUUUAUGAAGAGUGGCUUGGAAAUUGCAAGUAGAUGGUUACUCUAGCCGUAUAGCUUAUUUAAUUAGGAGUGAGAUGCUUGCUAAGAUGAAUGGUGUUUCUGUAAGGGCAGACAUAUUCCUAGCACUGGAUUAUGCACAUGUAUAUAUGGAUACUUCUGUACGAAUGCAGCUCACACUUACCACGGUCAGAAGAGUCUUGCAUGGAUAUAUCAUGUGAUGUGACACUGGAAUAAUUGGCCUGGAGUUCACCAGCGUGACCGAGCGCAGUGCAACGGAGCUGUUCAACACGUGUUGGCACAUGACUGCCAUGGAAGAGGAUCUCGCUGGAACGCUGCCGUUUCUUCAGUUUGGAAUUUUGUUAACAAUUCUGUAACCUUGAUUGCGCUGAGCAUAAGCAGGAUCUACGCAUUAUUCUGUUGACUUUGCUCACUCCCGAAAAGAAGAGGACUAUGGACCUGAGUGGGAAUGGAGGCAGGAUAUUCUUCUGGAUGGCUAUGCUGAGGUGGUGGUUGGUCGGAUCCAUGGUGUAGGCAAAGUUGGUCAGCAUGGUGGAGUUGUGCUGUGGGGAAGACCCUGGAUUAGAGAUCUGCGCGGCUAUCUGCGUGCUGGGUGGAUCAGUGUAGCCCACCUUGGGAUGGAGGCAAGCGGCGCUUCACUGGUGCCUCGCCAUGCCACAACAGUGGCCUUCACAAUGUUUAAUCAUAAGACCACUAUUUUUGUGUCUAUAUGCAGUGUUCACUUCGUCUAUAUCUUGGCAAUGUUUAAUCAUAAAACCACUAAUUUUGUGUCUAUAUGCAGUGUUCACUUUGUCUAUAUCUUGGCAAUGUUUAAUCAUAAAACCACUAAUUCUGUGUAUCUGCAGUGUUCAUUUCAUCUAUAUCAUAUUUAUUUUAUAUGACAAAUCAUCUCUAUAAAUUAACCAGGCCUAAUUACAAUAGUAGAAGUAUGGUAGAAACUAAUAUGAAACAACAACUUUUGUCACAUAUACCAAACCAAGGUUGCUUAUCUGGAAACUUGAUUUUCUUUUGACAUUCAUUGCACAUGUAUUUUGAUUUGUGCACAAGGAAGCUCACAAAUUUGUG